CAGAUAUCAGGAGGAACACCAGUGGCGAAGGCGGUUCUCUGGGCCUUUCCUGACGCUGAGGAGCGAAAGCGUGGGGAGCGAACAGGCUUAGAUACCCUGGUAGUCCACGCUGUAAACGGUGGGUACUAGGUGUGGGGUCCUUCCAGGGUUCCGUGCCGUAGCUAACGCUUUAAGUACCCCGCCUGGGGAGUACGGCCGCAAGGCUAAAACUCAAAGGAAUUGACGGGGCCCCGCACAAGCGGCGGAGCAUGCGGAUUAAUUCGAUGCAACGCGUAGAACCUUACCUGGGUUUGACAUGAUCGGGAGUGCUCAGAGAUGGGUGUGCCUCUUUUGGGGUCGGUUCACAGGUGGUGCAUGGCUGUCGUCAGCUCGUGUCGUGAGAUGUUGGGUUAAGUCCCGCAACGAGCGCAACCCUUGUUCACUGUUGCCAGCACGUUAUGGUGGGGACUCAGUGGAGACCGCCGGGGUCAACUCGGAGGAAGGUGGGGAUGACGUCAAGUCAUCAUGCCCCUUAUGUCCAGGGCUUCACGCAUGCUACAAUGGCUGGUACAGAGAGUGGCGAGCCUGUGAGGGUGAGCGAAUCUCGGAAAGCCGGUCUCAGUUCGGAUUGGGGUCUGCAACUCGACCUCAUGAAGUCGGAGUCGCUAGUAAUCGCAGAUCAGCACGCUGCGGUGAAUACGUUCCCGGGGCUUGCACAC
rnacentral:rRNA from 1 species